AUUUUUGCUCCUAUUUUAAAAAAUCUGCCUCUAAAUACAUAAUCUUUUAUUUUUGUCUUAUUUUUGUCCGGUGGCUGGUUUUUUCUUACGACAGCGCCGAAAAUGACACGGUGGCAGCCGGAAUUGAUGUGAUGGCAGUCGGAAAUUGACACCUAGACAUAUUAUUGACAUGUGAAAAAAAACAAAAAACAAAACAAAAAACAAAAAAAACCCACAUCAUCAUCUUCCCCAAUCUCCCCCACUCCCAAACCUUAAUCUCUCCUUCCCCACCCG
rnacentral:lncRNA from 1 species